UGUUCAUUAACAGUGUUCUUCCAUUUUCACCCCUGCUUCUUUUUUGUUAUUUCAACUUUGCCCUUCUUCUUAUAUGUCAACCCAACUUUUCAAUAGAUGCUUCCCCACCGUUUCAGACUCUAAACCCACCUUUUCGACUCCUGCUCUCCCCGUCUCCCUCCUCGCCUCUCUUCUCUGCACCAAGCACCUCGAUUUAGGGCUUCACCAUUUCUCUUCGAAUCAAGGUUUUAUGAAGGUGUUGUUUCUUCUUACGACCCCGCC